rnacentral:rRNA from 1 species
UACGUAGGCAGCGAGCGUUGUUCGGAGUUACUGGGCGUAAAGGGUGUGUAGGCGGUUGUUUAAGUUUGGUGUGAAAUCUCCCGGCUCAACUGGGAGGGUGCGCCGAAUACUGAGAGGCUAGAGUGCGGGAGAGGAAAGUGGAAUUCCUGGUGUAGCGGUGAAAUGCGUAGAUAUCAGGAGGAACACCGGUGGUGUAAACGGCUUUCUGGACCGUAACUGACGCUGAUGCACGAAAGCGUGGGUAGCAAACAGG